AUUGAACGCUGGCGGCAUGCCUUACACAUGCAAGUCGAACGGCAGCACGGGAGCUUGCUCCUGGUGGCGAGUGGCGAACGGGUGAGUAAUACAUCGGAACGUACCCUGAAGUGGGGGAUAACGUAGCGAAAGUUACGCUAAUACCGCAUAUUCUGUGAGCAGGAAAGAGGGGGAUCGCAAGACCUCUUGCUUUAGGAGCGGCCGAUGUCGGAUUAGCUAGUUGGUGAGGUAAAGGCUCACCAAGGCGACGAUCCGUAGCGGGUCUGAGAGGAUGAUCCGCCACACUGGGACUGAGACACGGCCCAGACUCCUACGGGAGGCAGCAGUGGGGAAUUUUGGACAAUGGGCGCAAGCCUGAUCCAGCCAUGCCGCGUGAGUGAAGAAGGCCUCGGUGUAAGACGUCUUCGUUGGGG
rnacentral:rRNA from 1 species